CCUACGGGUGGCAGCAGUGGGGAAUAUUGGACAAUGGCGGAAACCCUGAUGCAGCCACGCCGCGUGAGUGAAGAAGUAUCUAGGUAUGUUAAACUCCAUCAGCCGGAGCGAGACAAGACGGUACCUGACUAAGAAGCCCCGACUAACUACGUGCCAGCAGCCGAGGUCAUACGUAGGGGCCCAGCGUUAUCCGGAAUCACUGGGUGUAAAGGGAGCGUAGAGGGCUGUGGAAGCCUGAGGGGAAAGGCGGGGGCCCAAACCCGGGACUGCUGUGGUAACUGUACGGCUUGAGUGCGGGAGAGGUAAGUGGAAGUCGUGGUGUAGCGGUGAAAUGCGUAGAUAUCAGGAGGAACACCAGUUGCGAAGGCGGCUUACCGGAGCGUAACUGACGCUGAGGCUCGAAAGCGUGGGGAGCGAACAGGAUUAGAUACCCCUGUAGUC
rnacentral:rRNA from 1 species